CAGGUGGUGCAUGGUUGUCGUCAGCUCGUGUCGUGAGAUGUUGGGUUAAGUCCCGCAACGAGCGCAACCCUUGUCCUGUGUUGCCAGCGGGUUAUGCCGGGGACUCAUGGGAGACUGCCGGGGUCAACUCGGAGGAAGGUGGGGACGACGUCAAAUCAUCAUGCCCCUUAUGUCUUGGGCUUCACGCAUGCUACAAUGGCCGGUACAAAGGGCUGCGAUGCCGUAAGGUGGAGCGAAUCCCAAAAAGCCGGUCUCAGUUCGGAUUGGGGUCUGCAACUCGACCCCAUGAAGUCGGAGUCGCUAGUAAUCGCAGAUCAGCAACGCUGCGGUGAAUACGUUCUCGGGCCUUGUACACACCGCCCGUCACGUCACGAAAGUCGGUAACACCCGAAGCCGGUGGCCCAACCCUUGUGGGGGGAGCCGUCGAAGGUGGGAUUGGCGAUUGGGACG
rnacentral:rRNA from 1 species